rnacentral:lncRNA from 1 species
CUGCUUUAACAUCUGUUUCUGUUCCUUCCUUGUCCUCUUUGGCAAGUAGCAAUAACAUGCCACUUCCCAACACACACAAAUUCAACAGAUAAAACAUAAAAAUCUCAGAACUUCUCUACCGCACGCACCGAUAGGGCAUCAAAUUUAAUGGGUUAGUAAUUAAAUGCGCUAACUUUUCUUCAAAUUACGGAUAAGCUUAACCGAAUUCAAGGUUUCAAACUUCAAACAUAAUAUGAACAAAAACUGAAAAUCAAUGACUAAAUAUCACUAUCUGGUUAAUAAUCUCAUAAGUGGAACAAAAAAAUUAACCAAAAUAAUCAAAUCAAGAGUACAGUCACAGAGUAGAGACAUUUAACAGAAAAAAAAAAUGAAUCAAUCAACUAGCUAUAAUGAUUCAUAUCUGCGUCUAUGUCCAUACAAAUCAAAGGGUUCCCAAAGUGCAUCAAGAGGACAAGGUUUUGAUUCAUCAAGUCUCCUCCAUGGUUUUCCACUACCAGACCAAUGCAACAAACUAACAGGACCAGGAUGCAAAUCUCUACAACUACCUUUCACAUUAUCACCACCUAAACCAUGUUGAUUCCACCUAUGCUCAAUUGCCGCCACGUGUCCUGCAAAAACCAACAGAAACGGUGGUAGUGACCCAAGCUCGUAGAUCCUUUCUACCUUCUGAAUUUCCAUCCACCGUUCAAUCCUCUCCGUGUACCCUUUCUUCCUCCACUUCACUAGAUCCAUCACCAUCACCCCAGUGUUGAAGUAACAAGCUUUUCUCUUCUCAAACGUCGUAGAAAACACCGGGUCGGACCAAAACGCCGCCGUAAAAUACUUGGUGAAAUUAGCAUGACAAUAUUGCGGUGCUCCGAUUGUAUUCAACCCUAAAUCAGUAUUCCACAGCUUCGCAAUAUCGUCUUGUAAAACAAGAUCUGAAUCCAAGUAAAUCACUCUUUUCACACAACUUUCUAACAGAUCCGCUAGAUAAUUUCUAGCGUAAUUCAAAGGCUGUUCAAGCGCUUGUCUCACAGAAGUUGAAAUCAAAUUCUUAACAAUAUUCCGAUCGAAAUAAUACACCUUGAAUCUCAACUGCGGAAAAGUUGUUCGAACCAAUGUUUCCAGAUCCGUAUCUGUAACAAGAAAGUGAAAAAAAACAUUCUCUGGACAAGAAGCGUGAUAAAGAAUGGAAUGCACCGCAGCGAUUGAACCACGAAGAUACUCGACAUCGAGUGUAAUAGCUACAUGAACCAAACUUGGAUGACAUGCACCGAUUUCCCUUGAAAUCGGUUCGCAUUGAUCGGCAUUACGAAAAAACGGAGAUGUGUGAAAGUAGAAACGGUAAUCAUGGUGAGGAAUAUGAUGAAUGAUAGAAGAUCUUAUGGCUAAAGCUGGGUAAUGAGAUGAAUGGAGGGAGGGGGAGAUGAUGAUUACGGUCAUAACGGCAGAGAAAAACCGUGAAAAUUUGAUAAUCGACGACAUUGUUUGUGUUCUAGGGUUUGAUUGAAAUUUUUGUUUUUGUACAAAACCCCCCUCCUACUCCAGAAGUAUAUGUAAUGGGUGAAGAUUUGUAUAUAUGGAAAGAAAUGAAUGGGAAUUAAUAGGAAUGAGAAAAUUUCUAGGGUUUCCUUUUUGUGAAUUGGGGGAAGAAGAAUACUAUAAAAAAUAAAAAAUAAAAAGGAAUUGGUUCUUUUCUCUUGUUGUCUUGGUUGGUAUGAGUGUCAGUGAGAGUAAGGAUGCCGUGAGAAGGGAGAAGAAUCCAUGAGCAUGAUAGAUAGGUGCUAAAGUACGCACCUUGUUUAUUG